GCUCCAUCUGAGACCGAAGCAUAUAUUAAUUGGAAUGGUACAGAGGAGAUGAGCAUGAUCCUCUGCAAGGAUGACACACAAAUUCAUGAGCAGUCUAUCUUUUUG